GUGCCAUAAGAUAAUUAAACUUCAGGAACAAACUCCUAAUCCAUUAUUCAAAAUCAUCUCUCUUUAACUUUCCAUCGCAUAAACCUUUUCACUAAUGAUUCUAUAACCUCAGCGAAAACCUAAUACAUUAUCCAAAACCCCAAAAAGAAUGCACCAAACGAAAAUCGGCUAGUACCCACUAUCACCAACCUCAUUAAUCAUCCAACUGUUGAAGCUCAGCCUUCAACUGCUCAAUCUUCAGUCCCAUUGACCUCUGCAAAGCCGCCUUUUCGCUCUCGGGCAACUUCCCCAAUAGCCCCUCAAACAUGUCCAGCACUUCUUUCAC
rnacentral:misc_RNA from 1 species